UACGUAGGUGGCAAGCGUUGUCCGGAUUUACUGGGCGUAAAGAGCGCGCAGGCGGUCGGAUCAGUCGAAUGUGAAAGCCCCCGGCUCAACUGGGGAGGGUCAUUCGAUACUGUCCGACUCGAAGGCAGGAGAGGGAAGCGGAAUUCCCGGUGUAGUGGUGAAAUGCGCAGAUAUCAGGAAGAACACCAAUGGCGAAAGCAGCUCUCUGGGACGGUACUGACGCUGAGACGCGAAAGCGUGGGGAGCGAACAGG
rnacentral:rRNA from 1 species